AAAGCGUGUUGAUAUAUUAGAAGUUGACUUUCAUUGACGCUGCUGUAUUUCAUGUCCCUAAUGGAUUCAAUAAGGCAUUAAUAGUUUUAUUGACUGCCAGAGGAACCGUUGUGUAAAUAAUUAAAAAACACAAAUCGUUUGAAGUAUGAACAGAGAAUUUAAAGUAAAUCAUUAUCAUAGCAGAACUACGUUGAACCAUCUGACUUAUCAUUUCAAGAAAUAUUUUGUACAGUUAAUAACUGUUUGAUUGUUUAUCGUAUAAAGUCACCAAAGCAGUUCAUUUCUAUAAAAGGAACGUAUUGGCGAAGUGAAUGCUAUUUUCUGUGACUGGUAUUACACACC
rnacentral:lncRNA from 1 species